ensembl:lncRNA
GGCCUCCUCUGGGUCCAGACCAAAGGGGGCCCAGGCUGGAGGAGGACCAGGCUCAGUUGGGGCUGCUUUGGGGCCCAGUCUGGAGGGGGCCUGGCACAGUUGAGGCCUCCUUUGGGCCCAGUCUGGAGGGGGCCCAGGCAGAGCCAGGGCCUCAGGGCCCAGGCUGGAGGAGGACCAGGCUCAGUUGGGGCUGCUUUGAGGCCCAGUCCGGAGGGGGGCCUGGCACAGUUGGGGCUGCUUUGGGGCCCAGGCUGGAGGAGGACCAGGCUCAGCUGGGGCUGCUUUGGGGCCUAGUCCGGAGGGAGGCCCGGCACAGCCAGAGCCUUGUGGCAGCAGUCCAACUCUCAAGUUCAACCUUUAACCAUAACCUAAAACGGUAACCGUAGUGAAAGGUAGUGGCAGAUAGAGCUGCUUUACUGUGUUUUAAUUUUCCCAAGAAUAGUGAAGGACUCAAGCUAGUAAAGAAAGACCCCUUUCUGAAGAGCAGGACUCAGAAGGUAUUACCAGAGAGCAGAUCUCCCAGUAGAGAUUCUUCCCCUUAGACAGCCAGCCCUUAAAUGAGGUUAGGGAGGGCUGGGACCAGGCUCCACCCC